GGGGAGCCCUAGCACAGGUGCUGCAUGGCCGUCGUCAGCUCGUGCCGUGAGGUGUUGGGUUAAGUCCCGCAACGAGCGCAACCCCCGCCGUUAGUUGCCAGCGGUUCGGCCGGGCACUCUAACGGGACUGCCCGCGAAAGCGGGAGGAAGGAGGGGACGACGUCUGGUCAGCAUGGCCCUUACGGCCUGGGCGACACACGUGCUACAAUGCCCACUACAAAGCGAUGCCACCCGGCAACGGGGAGCUAAUCGCAAAAAGGUGGGCCCAGUUCGGAUUGGGGUCUGCAACCCGACCCCAUGAAGCCGGAAUCGCUAGUAAUCGCGGAUCAAGCCAUGCCGCGGUGAAUACGUUCCCGGGCCUUGU
rnacentral:rRNA from 1 species